CCUACGGGGGGCAGCAGUGAGGAAUAUUGGUCAAUGGACGAGAGUCUGAACCAGCCAAGUAGCGUGAAGGAUGACUGCCCUAUGGGUUGUAAACUUCUUUUAUAUGGGAAUAAAAUGUUCCACGUGUGGGAUUUUGUAUGUACCAUAUGAAUAAGGAUCGGCUAACUCCGUGCCAGCAGCCGCGGUAAUACGGAGGAUCCGAGCGUUAUCCGGAUUUAUUGGGUUUAAAGGGAGCGUAGGUGGAUUGUUAAGUCAGUUGUGAAAGUUUGCGGCUCAACCGUAAAAUUGCAGUUGAAACUGGCAGUCUUGAGUACAGUAGAGGUGGGUGGAAUUCGUGGUGUAGCGGUGAAAGGCUUAGAUAUCACGAAGAACUCCGAUUGCGAAGGCAGCUCACUGGACUGCAACUGACACUGAGGCUCGAAAGUGUGGGUAUCAAACAGGAUUAGAUACCCGUGUAGCC
rnacentral:rRNA from 1 species